rnacentral:rRNA from 1 species
GACGUAGGGUGCAAGCGUUGUCCGGAAUUAUUGGGCGUAAAGAGCUCGUAGGCGGUCUGUCGCGUCUGGUGUGAAAAUCCAGGGCUUAACCCUGGACCUGCAUCGGGUACGGGCAGACUAGAGUGCGGUAGGGGAGAUCGGAAUUCCUGGUGUAGCGGUGAAAUGCGCAGAUAUCAGGAGGAACACCGGUGGCGAAGGCGGGUCUCUGGGCCGAUACUGACGCUGAGGAGCGAAAGCGUGGGGAGCGAACAGG